UCAAAUAAAAUAGUUCUCGACCAGUU
rnacentral:piRNA from 1 species